rnacentral:rRNA from 1 species
AUUGAACGCUGGCGGCAGGCUUAACACAUGCAAGUCGAGCGGGGGAAGGUAGCUUGCUACUGGACCUAGCGGCGGACGGGUGAGUAAUGCUUAGGAAUCUGCCUAUUAGUGGGGGACAACAUCUCGAAAGGGAUGCUAAUACCGCAUACGUCCUACGGGAGAAAGCAGGGGAUCUUCGGACCUUGCGCUAAUACAUGAGCCUAAGUCGGAUUGACUAGUUGGUGGGGUAAAGGCCUACCAAGGCGACGAUCUGUAGCGGGUCUGAGAGGAUGAUCCGCCACACUGGGACUGAGACACGGCCCAGACUCCUACGGGAGGCAGCAGUGGGGAAUAUUGGACAAUGGGGGGAACCCUGAUCCAGCCAUGCCGCGUGUGUGAAGAAGGCCUUAUGGUUGUAAAGCACUUUAAGCGAGGAGGAGGCUACCCUAGUUAAUACCUAGGGAUAGUGGACGUUACUCGCAGAAUAAGCACCGGCUAACUCUGUGCCAGCCGCCGCGGUAA